AACGAACGCUGGCGGCAGGCCUAACACAUGCAAGUCGAGCGCCCCGCAAGGGGAGCGGCGGACGGGUGAGUAACGCGUGGGAAUAUGCCCUUUGCUACGGAAUCGUCUCGGGAAACUGGGGGUAAUACCGUAUACGCCCUUUGGGGGAAAGAUUUAUCGGCGAAGGAUUAGCCCGCGUUGGAUUAGGUAGUUGGUGGGGUAAUGGCCUACCAAGCCGACGAUCCAUAGCUGGUUUGAGAGGAUGAUCAGCCACACUGGGACUGAGACACGGCCCAGACUCCUACGGGAGGCAGCAGUGGGGAAUCUUAGACAAUGGGGGCAACCCUGAUCUAGCCAUGCCGCGUGAGUGAUGAAGGCCUUAGGGUUGUAAAGCUCUUUCAGCUGGGAAGAUAAUGACGGUACCAGCAGAAGAAGCCCCGGCUAACUCCGUG
rnacentral:rRNA from 1 species